rnacentral:rRNA from 1 species
GAUAAACGCUGGCGGCGUGCCUUAUGCAUGCAAGUCGAACGAGAUUAGGGCUUCGGCCCGAAGUCUAGUGGCGGACGGGUGAGUAACACGUACGUGACCUGUCUGGACGUGGGGAAUAACCAGCCGAAAGGUUGGCUAAUACCGCAUAUGGUUACUGCUUGGAAGCAGCAAACCAAAGUCGCAAGACGCGUUCAGAGGGGCGUGCGGACGAUUAGCUAGUUGGUGUGGUAACGGCGCACCAAGGCGGUGAUCGGUAGCUGGUCUGAGAGGAUGGUCAGCCACACUGGGACUGAGACACGGCCCAGACCCCUACGGGAGGCAGCAGCAGGGAAUUUUGCGCAAUGGGCGAAAGCCUGACGCAGCAACGCCGCGUGGGGGAUGAAGGCUCUUGGGUCGUAAACCCCUUUUGCCGGGGAAGAUAAUGACGGUACCCGGCGAAUAAGCCACGGCUAACUACGUGCCAGCAGCCGCGGUAAUACGUAGGUGGCAAGCGUUGUCCGGAUUUAUU